UAUUGUAGUCUUCAAGGCCUUGUAAGAGCCUCUCCUAAGAUGCUGUC
rnacentral:tRNA from 1 species